rnacentral:lncRNA from 1 species
UCGUGAAAAAAAGUGUGCAUGUAUAGCCUGUUUGUUGUUGGACAUACCUGAGACUACUAUAACACAUAUUUUUUUUAUAGCCUGGUUUGUUGUUGAACAUACCUACGCGAUACUAAGUAAAGCAGCUCUUUAUAUUGGUCUUGUGGUGUAAAAUGUUGGUGAUAUUGAUUGCAUCAAUUCCUUUUUUGGAGAACGGAAUAUGAAAGCUGUUUUUAUUUUCAACUCAAUUGUGUUUUGACUCGUUUAAAAAAGUGAAACUUGGCUAUAUAUAGAAGAAGAAAAAACGUCUACACAACCUUUACUUAUUGCUUAAACUUUC